UACGUAGGGUGCGAGCGUUGUCCGGAAUUACUGGGCGUAAAGAGCUUGUAGGUGGUUUGUCGCGUUGUUCGUGAAAACUCACAGCUCAACUGUGGGCGUGCGGGCGAUACGGGCAGACUAGAGUACUGCAGGGGAGACUGGAAUUCCUGGUGUAGCGGUGGAAUGCGCAGAUAUCAAGCGGAACACCGGUGGCGAAGGCGGCCUUCUGGACAGUGACUGACGCUGAGACGCGAAAGCGUGGGGAGCAAACAGG
rnacentral:rRNA from 1 species